GUGGGGAAUAUUGCACAAUGGGCGAAAGCCUGAUGCAGCAACGCCGCGUGAAGGAUGAAGGCCUUUGGGUCGUAAACUUCUGUCCUUGGGGAAGAAAAAAAUGACGGUACCCCUGGAGGAAGUCCCGGCUAACUACGUGCCAGCAGCCGCGGUAAUACGUAGGGGGCGAGCGUUAUCCGGAAUUAUUGGGCGUAAAGAGUACGUAGGUGGUUUUUUAAGCGCAGGGUUUAAGGCGAUGGCUCAACUGUCGUUCGCCCUGUGAACUGGAAGACUUGAGUACAGGAGAGGAAAGCGGAAUUCCUAGUGUAGCGGUGAAAUGCAUAGAUAUUAGGAGGAACACCAGUGGCGAAGGCGGCUUUCUGGACUGUAACUGACACUGAGGUACGAAAGCGUGGGGAGCAAACAGGAUUAGAAACCCCAGUAGUCC
rnacentral:rRNA from 1 species